rnacentral:rRNA from 1 species
GGGGGAACCCUGACCGAGCAACGCCGCGUGAGUGAAGAAGGUUUUCGGAUCGUAAAGCUCUGUUGUUAAGGAAGAACGUGUGUGAGAGUGGAAAGUUCACACAGUGACGGUACUUAACCAGAAAGGGACGGCUAACUACGUGCCAGCAGCCGCGGUAAUACGUAGGUCCCGAGCGUUGUCCGGAUUUAUUGGGCGUAAAGCGAGCGCAGGCGGUUAGAUAAGUCUGAAGUGAAAGGCAGUGGCUCAACCAUUGUAGGCUUUGGAAACUGUUUAACUUGAGUGCAGAAGGGGAGAGUGGAAUUCCAUGUGUAGCGGUGAAAUGCGUAGGUAUAUGGAGGAACACCGGUGGCGAAAGCGGCUCUCUGGUCUGUAACUGACGCUGAGGCUCAAAAGCGUGGGGAGCGAACAGGAUUAGAUACCCUGGUAGUCCACGCCGUAAACGAUGAGUGCUAGGUGUUAGGUCCUUUCCGGGACUUAGUGCCGCAGCUAACGCAUUAAGCACUCCGCCUGGGGAGUACGACCGCAAGGUUGAAACUCAAAGGAAUUGACGGGGCACGCACAAGCGGUGGAGCAUGUGGUUUAAUUCGAAGCAACGCGAAGAACCUUACCAGGUCUUGACAUCCCGAUGCCCGCUCUAGAGAUAGAGCUUUACUUCGGUACAUCGGUGACAGGUGGUGCGUGG